UACGUAGGGUGCAAGCGUUGUCCGGAAUUAUUGGGCGUAAAGAGCUCGUAGGCGGUCUGUCGCGUCGGCUGUGAAAACCUGGGGCUCAACCCCGGGCCUGCAGACGAUACGGGCUAGCUAGAAUUCGGUAGGGGAGACUGGAAUUCCUGGUGUAGCGGUGAAAUGCGCAGAUAUCAAGUGGAACACCAGUGGCGAAGGCGAGUCUCUGGACAUUUCCUGACGCUGAGGCACGAAAGCCAGGGGAGCAAACGGG
rnacentral:rRNA from 1 species